rnacentral:snRNA from 1 species
AGCUUUGCACAGUGGCAGUAUCGUAGCCAAUGAGGUUUCUCUGAGGCGUGAUUAUUGCUAAUUGAAAGCUUUUCUAAAAAAAAA